CCGGGUCACCUGAGCCACCGCGUCCUGACAGCGGACAGAGGGUGUGCCAGUGGGCUCCCGGGCCGGCGCGCUGGGGAUCCUGGUGCCUGAGCGAUCGGCGGGAGACUGCGCCCCGGCAGCCCGGCGGCCAGCCUCCAGCCCUCCGCAGCCCGCCCAGGUCAAAGAGCAAGCUCUGCUUCAGGAAUCCAAGGACUCCCUGAGGUGUACGCGGCAGGGAUCUCUGCCCGUGCAGCCCGUCCAUUUCACAGCACAGAAAACUGAGGCUCCGACGUGUUUAAAGCGCUGUUUCUUCGAGUUGGAGGACCUAGAUUCAACUCUCCCGAAAAGCCGUGACCGUAGGCAAGUUACUCAAACCUCCGAGUUCAGUGUCUCCACCUGUAAAACGACGAUAAUAGUGUCCACUUCCUGUGCUUGAUGAGAGGACAAAAUGAAUGAGGCGCAGGAGCCCGGGAACACUACUUAUUUUAAAACAGAAGAGAAGGCCAAAAAGCACAUGAAAAGAUGCUCAACAUUGCUAAUUUUUAGAGAAAUGCAAAUCAAGUCUACAAUGAAGUAUCACCUCACACCAGUCAAAAUGACCAUCAUUUAAAAGUUUACAAAUAACAAAUAUUGGAGAAGGUGAGGAGAAAGGGGGACCCUCCUGGGGUACAACUGCACUCUUCACAUGCUAGCAAGGUUAUCCUCAAAAUUCCUCAAGGUAGGCUUCAGCAGUACAUGAACUGAGAACUUCCAGAUGUACAAAAUGAGUUUAGAAAAGGCAAAGG